rnacentral:misc_RNA from 1 species
UCUCCGUUGGUGAACCAGCGGAGGGAUCAUUACAGGACUCGCAAGACUCCCGUAAACCACUGUGAACCUACCUAUUGUUGCCUCGGCGGGUGCUCGAGCUCAGCGCUCAGCCCGCCGGCGGCCAACCAAACUCUUGUUUCUACAGUGAAUCUCUGAGUAAAAAACAUAAAUGAAUCAAAACUUUCAACAACGGAUCUCUUGGUUCUGGCAUCGAUGAAGAACGCAGC